AUUGAACGCUGGCGGCAUGCCUUACACAUGCAAGUCGAACGGUAACAGGUCUUCGGAUGCUGACGAGUGGCGAACGGGUGAGUAAUACAUCGGAACGUGCCUAGUAGUGGGGGAUAACUACUCGAAAGAGUAGCUAAUACCGCAUGAGAUCUACGGAUGAAAGCAGGGGAUCGCAAGACCUUGUGCUACUAGAGCGGCCGAUGGCAGAUUAGGUAGUUGGUGGGAUAAAAGCUUACCAAGCCGACGAUCGGUAGCUGGUCUGAGAGGACGAUCAGCCACACUGGGACUGAGACACGGCCCAGACUCCUACGGGAGGCAGCAGUGGGGAAUUUUGGACAAUGGGCGCAAGCCUGAUCCAGCAAUGCCGCGUGCAGGAUGAAGGCCUUCGGGUUGUAAACUGCUUUUGUACGGAACGAAAAGGUUUCUACUAAUACUAGGAGCUCAUGACGGUACUGUAAGAAUAAGCACCGGCUAACUACGUGCCAGCCGCCGCGGUAACAC
rnacentral:rRNA from 1 species